UACAGAGGGGGCAAGCGUUGUUCGGAAUUACUGGGCGUAAAGGGCGCGUAGGCGGCCUGUUAAGUCGAACGUGAAAUCCCCGGGCUCAACCCGGGAACUGCGUCCGAUACUGGCAGGCUUGAAUUCGGGAGAGGGAUGCGGAAUUCCACGUGUAGCAGUGAAAUGCGUAGAGAUGUGGAGGAAUACCGAUGGCGAAGGCAGCCCCCUGGGAUAACACUCGACGCUCAUGCACGAAAGCGUGGGGAGCAAACAGGA
rnacentral:rRNA from 1 species